rnacentral:miRNA from 1 species
AAGCGUGGAUUGGGGGGGGGG